rnacentral:rRNA from 1 species
GACGAACCGUCCAAACGUUGUUCGGAAUCACUGGGCUUAAAGGGCGCGUAGGCGGGCCAGUGGGUCCGGGGUGAAAUCUUUCGGCUUAACCGGAAAAGUGCCUUGGAUACCGCUGGUCUAGAGGGAGGUAGGGGCAUGUGGAACUUCUGGUGGAGCGGUGAAAUGCGUUGAUAUCAGAAGGAACGCCGGUGGCGAGAGCGACGUGCUGGAUCUCUUCUGACGCUGAGGCGCGAAAGCCAGGGGAGCAAACGGG